rnacentral:rRNA from 1 species
GGGAGGAGCCCAGCGCCGAAUCCCCGAUCUUUCAGGUCGCGGGAAAUGUGGCGUUUAGGAGUGAGCGUGCCGAGUGCGGGACCCGCAGCAAGUCCCCCUGACCGGGGCCUUCCCAGAGCGGGUGCGAGGCCCAUAGCCGUGGGGCCCGUCUCGGAUGCGAUCUCCUGGGAGUCGGGUUGCUUGGGAGUGCAGCCCUAAUCGGGAGGUAAACUCCUCCUAAGGCUAAAUACCGCCGUGAGACCGAUAGCAAACAAGUACCGUGAGGGAAAGUUGCAAAGAACUUUGAAGAGAGAGUUCAAGAGUACGUGAAACUGCUCAGAGGUAAACGGGUGGGCCCUCGAAAUCCUGUGGCGGGAGGAUUCAGUCUGGAGUUGGCGUCGCGCUGGUCGGAAAUCAGUAGGGCUUCCCGUUAACAGGGGCCGUCCGAUCGCGAGCUUCGCCAAGGCCUGACGCAUUUGUCUCCCGCCCCGAGGACGCCGCAGCCGGUUUGGCAGUGCAAACGUGACGGCCUGGAAGGCCGGAAAUGGCAGGUGGCCGGUGGCACUCCACCAGGAGGUCCGCCGGUUGUUAGCCGUCCGGUCGGUGGCCCGUCGCCAGACCGAGGUAAGUUGACGCCUCCUCUUCCACUGAGGUCGGGACGUUCCGUCGCGAGCGAGGGUAGCCGUGCGGCCGCACUCUUCAGGGGUGGGCCAGCGCGGAGACUGCGCCGUCGGUGAUGGAGGACCCGUCGGAGGUAGGAGGUUAGCGGCGAGUAGGUCGGUCACCCACCCGACCCGUCUUGAAACACGGACCAAGGAGUCUAACAUGUGCGCGAGUCAAUGGGUCUUGAACAAGCCCAGAGGCGCAAUGAAAGCGAAGGCAGGCGCCACGCCUGCCGAGUCGGGAUCCGCCGACUGCAUGUCGGCGGCGCACCGACGACCCGUCCUGUGCGGCUUGCCGCUUGGGCGGA